rnacentral:rRNA from 1 species
GACGAACCGUCCAAACGUUAUUCGGAAUUACUGGGCUUAAAGGGUGCGUAGGCGGCGCGGAAAGUUGGGUGUGAAAUCCCUCGGCUUAACCGAGGAACUGCGCCCAAAACUACCGUGCUCGAGGGAGAUAGAGGUGAGCGGAACUUAGGGUGGAGCGGUGAAAUGCGCAGAUAUCAGGAGGAACACCGGUGGCGAAGGCGGAUCUCUGGGCCAUUACUGACGCUGAGGAGCGAAAGCGUGGGGAGCGAACAGG